GCUUACGGCCAUACCACCCUGAGAACGCCCGAUCUCGUCUGAUCUCAGACGCUAAGCAGGGUUGGGCCUGGUUAGUACUUGGAUGGGAGACCGCCUGGGAAUACCAGGUGCUGUAAACU
ensembl:rRNA 5S_rRNA 5S ribosomal RNA